rnacentral:rRNA from 1 species
UCCUACGGGGCGCAGCAGUGGGGAAUAUUGCGCAAUGGGCGAAAGCCUGACGCAGCGACGUCGCGUGAGGGAUGAAGGUCUUCGGAUCGUAAACCUCUUUUGUCAGGGAACAAAGGCGGGGACUAGUCCCCGGAUGAGGGUACCUGAAGAAAAAGCAUCGGCUAACUCCGUGCCAGCAGCCGCGGUAAUACGGAGGAUGCGAGCGUUAUCCGGAUUUAUUGGGUUUAAAGGGUGCGCAGGCGGCCUGUUAAGUCAGCGGUAAAAACCCGGGGCUCAACCCCGGCGAGCCGUUGAAACUGGCGGGG